CCGAUUUUUAUCACAACUUAUGCUUCUUAAAGCAAUCUCUACCAAUGAUCCAUUUCAUGUAAAAACCUGGCAUCUCCAGAACAUAUUUGAAAUUAUGCAUACCUUUCUUGGGGCCAGGGAUUUAGCUCAGUGGUUCUGCCGCCUGCCAUGCAAGCACAAGGUCCCGAGUUUGAUCCCCAACACCCCCCCCAAAAACGUUGUACCUUUUUUAUCUGAAAAUAGGUAGGUCUACUUGUUCUGAUAUUUAAGGAUAACCUGUAUUUUACAUUCAGACAAAAAGGUCCAUACUCUUGUUUGUUAUACUAUAUACUUCAUUUUUAAAGUUUCUCCUUACAAAAAUAGGCAUGUGUUUUUGUUUUAGAUUUAUGAAAUAAGCCUUCUCUAAUUAAUACCACCCCAGACAGGCUUGUAGGAUUUUAGAUUUUGGUAAACUGAUCAUCUUUAGCUUUAUAGAGUUAGGGAAUGGGGUUUCAGUUCAGUCAAGGUCUGGAGAAUUAAAUCACACUAAGAAAAUCACAACGUAUCAAAUUAUAAGCCAGGAUGCUAAUUUAUUAGCUUUAACUGGCAGAAUGCCCACUCUUCAUCAUUUGUUCAGAGUUCUCUUGUUUUGCAGGGUAAGAAGGACAGAUACAGUCAAAGAAGAAAAACCAAAUUGUUCUCAUAAAUCUUUGAUGAACCAACAAAUGGACCUAGAGAAUUUCGAUGUUCCUUCAGAAUACCAUGUUAGGGUUGGGCGUGGGCAUUGUUAUAUACACUAGAAUGCCACAGAUUGAGUAUUAUAAAGAACAGAAGUUUAUUUGGCUCAGUAUUCUUGAGAUUGGGAAGUCCAGGAUCCUGAGACUGCAUCUGGUGAAGGCCUCCAUGCUAUGCUGCCUUCUCCCAUUGCAGAAGGUAUUGCCUGGGGAAAGAGCUGGAACCUUGAAAUGUUAGAGAGGAGAGAUAACCACUGAACCCUGGAGGAUAAAAAAUGGUGGUGCUUGCUGCCUACUGCUGCUUCUGCUGUUUGCUGUCUUCUGCCUGCCUUGCCAUGGACUGUUUCUCUUCUCUGAUACCCCUCUG
ensembl:lncRNA